rnacentral:lncRNA from 1 species
CUAAAUGCUACUUAGAGAUGCAGCUGCUUUUAUGAGUGAUGCAACCCAGCUAGAGUGCAAUGCUGAAAACGCCCAUCUGUACACCUCUCCAAAGAGCUGGUGGUUGUUUCCUGAAGUGGAUGAAGAUGAAGGUUCUGUUGGCUCUGUCUUUGCUGGCCACCCUUGGGUCAAUUGAAGUCUGCUCUCUAAACUGCUUCUCAUGUACUGGACAGCCCUCGAAUGACCACUGCCUGGCACCCUUGGCAUGUCCUGUUACUNCUACCUACUGCAUGACGGUUGUCAAGAAGGCUGAGAAUGGAACAGCACGAUACUGGAAGUCAUGCGCGCCAGAGUGUACGGAAAGGAAAGAGAACAGCGUUUCCACCUUCUGCUGCCAAAAGGAUUUCUGCAACAAGGAUGGUGCAGCCAACCUUAAAGUCAGCGGAAUGUUUUUGCUGCUGGCAUUCUUGCUCGCCAGCACAUUUCUUUGGGCUGGCCCGUGAGGACCUCAGCGAAGGGUGCUUGUCUAGUUCACACUUUGCACAACAGUAAAUCUGCGUUAUGUUCGCAGGCAACACCAGUGAUAUAUGUGGUGAUGGUGGUAAAUUGCUGUCCAGGGUGCCCAAUGCCUGGGUAUCCCAAGGACACCCAUGCUGUGUCCUUAGUAGAUGGGGCAAGGGUGUGUCAUUUCCUCCCUCUGCAGAGAGGCUGAGGUUCAAGGUUGCACCCUUCUGCUUCCCAAGGCAAGAGGGAAUUGCAGAAUCGAAAGGUGAUCCUGCAGUUGCUUCUUACAAGGCAUGUGAAGCAAUAACUGGCUUACCUGGUGUGACUGCUGGCUCGUUUCAUUAUCAUCCCACUUAUAUCUACCCAGAAGACAACCAAGCAGCAGCGGCUGCUGGCUUUAAGGGCGC